rnacentral:lncRNA from 1 species
GUCAUGGUGAAGUUUGAUGUAACCCCAUGUUUUCUGACAUGAGCCCAACCUGAAGAAGAUGGAGCAAAGGCAACAUGUAUUAUACAGAAAAUGUAAAUCAAUAUAAGCCAUUUGAUAAGCAGAAUAAUUAUUGGCAGGGCUUUUUUUUCCAACUUGGGGGGGUAAUGUAUACAGACAACACAGUAUUUAUAACAACAAUAAUUGUUCACCUGUAUAAAAACCACCCUGCUAGCCACUAUUAAAUAGGUCUUAAACAAAAAUACCCCACAUCCAUAAGUGGACUUCAGCUGGCCUCUACACAUGCUACAUGUACAUGUAUGUAAAUAAUAUCUGUAUUCUAAUAUUCUAAUUUCUAUUGAUACAUUUGUAAAUCAAGAUACAUUGUAUAUGUAGGUUGUCACGUCCUUCUCUAUGGAAGUGAAUUGUGGGGUUUGUGCAUUCUUAACCUGGACAAAAGAUUAACACAAGGUUCAAAUGAUGAUUUAGAAAGACAAAAAAUUAAAUUUUGCACCUGAAAAGGUUCACAUUUGAUAUUGUUAAUAUGUACUUGGUGCCACUAAAUAUGCUUCUAAUAUUGCCAGUAUGGAAGAACUUGGUCGUUAUCCAAUCUCUAUAUUUGUUAUUUUGCAGUCUCUUAAAUACUGGCUAUAUUUGUAUAAAUACCCUCUUUUGAAUUUUUCAAAAUUAGCUUAUAAGUCAAUCGAAGAUGUUGAUUGUACCUUUCCAUGUACCUUCAAUAAACACAUUUUUCAGUUUCUAAAAUUCAUUCGUUUUGACCAUGUUUGGAAUAAUAAAGGAACUAUGUCAGAAGGAAAACUCAUAUCUGCAGUGAAAAAGAUAUUACAAGAAAGAUAUUUUUUCUCAUGUUUGUCAGGUGAAAAGCAAAACAAACUACCAAGGCUCCGUGUUGAAGGCCGUACUUUAACCUAUAAUGGUUUACUUUUUAAAUUGUUAUUUGUAUGGAGAGUUGUCUCAUUGGCACUCACACCACAUCUUCCUAUAUCUAUACACACAUAUUACAAGUUAAAAAAGGAAUAUAAACCUGAGAUUUAUACAAAGUUAAAUAUCUCAAAACAAUAUAUUAGACAAUUAUGUAAAUUAAGAAUUUCUAACCACAAUUUACAUAUUGAAAAAGGCAGAUAUAAUAAUAUGCCUUUGGAUCAAAGAAUAUGUAAACAUUGUAUUGAUAACAAAAUUGAAGAUGAGUUUCAUUUUAUAUGUGAAUGCAACCUCUAUCAAGACGAGAGAGAAAAGUUUUUUUAUGAUGACAUUGUUAAUAUUAUACCAUGUUUUUGUAAUUUAAAAGGUUUUGAUAAAUUUAAAUAUUUAAUGGACUGUUCGGCGACUGAUGUUCUCACCAGAUUUCUUAUAUAUAUAGACAAAUGUAUAUUGAUUAGACAUUCAUCAGUGGGAAUAAUUGCAUAAUAUUGAAGUGUGAGUUUUGUCUCUUGCUUGUUAUAUUAGUGUCAAAAUUGUUGGCUGUUAUGUUUUAUUGUUGUUUCUUUUGUAUAUGUUUUUAUAUGUGUUCAUGUGUUUCAGCGAUGAUCCUUUUGUACUGAAUUUUAUACUGAAUAAAAUUAGUUAGUUAGUUUUACUUUAAAAGUUUACAAUUUUUAUUCUUUGAUAUAACUUAUCCACAUUCAUACCUACACAAUUUAGUCCUUAUAACUAUGAUGUCUUGCAAGUAUAUUUUUAAUUUUUUUCUGCCAGGAUGAAGAUGUUUUUUAAUAAUUAUUUUGACUACAUUCAAUACCCAUAGGUUUAUUUUAACAUCAGCUAGUGGGCCCCCACUUAUGAAAAUUUCUGGAUCUGCCACUGAUAAUCAUAUUUGUACUUAAAGUCUACCACCAGUUCCAUGUUGUACAGUUUGUCCAGAAAGAGUCCAACAAUUUUUUCCAAUUAAGUUGGUUCAGCAGGGGAUGCAAGUACAACCGACACAAGUACAGAGUAAGUAAAGUAAAAGUACUCGCAUAUCAUUCUGUUUUCUAGCAAGGACUAGAGAGUGAAGUGUUUAGAAAGCGACAAAUUAAAUAUGAUAGUAAUAAAUUGUUAAAUGAUAGUAGAUGCAUAACUAAAUCAAUACUUAUAUCUUUCUUAGAUUCACCAUAGUUUGUUUAAAAGUAAAUCUUUUUCUGGUACAAAUGUGGUAGUUCAAAUACUUUGUGCACUAAUAUGUGUUAGUUUUCCUUUUAGUUUUGCAAACAAAUGCACACAAAGAAAGAAUAGAUAGGGACAUAGGCUCAUACAAACAGCUGGUGAAAGUUUUGCCAAUUUAUUUGAAUCUGUUUUUUUUAUUAUUCAUUUAUAAAGGUAGAAAUCAUAGUUAUGUAGUUUAUGUCCAUGUGACAUUAUCAGACACAAAAAAAAUUAUUCCCUGAAUUUUUACAAAGGCCAAAUGAUACCAUGAUGGAUUGCUUGACUGUAAGCUGUCAAUAUAAUGAAUACACUGAAAUUAAGAACACUUUAAGUUCUAGACAAUCAAACAAAUUAAUAUUUGAAUAAGUACAAAUGUAUACUUUAUACUGAACAUGAAAAAUGAUAUAUAUAUUAUAUAAACUCUUAUUAAAUGUUUAUGACUUAACAGAAAUGUGGUUAUAAUUCUCAUUAGAGCUAAUUUCCUAAUGCUUGUAAAAUAAGACUUUGGUUGGCUUGCCUGCAAUGUUAGCUCAAUCAUUGUAAUUAAGAUUGACAUCUGCAAACAAUAUAGAUAGGCAUAGUUAUUUAAACUUGUAUAUUAUAUUUCAAUUUAAUAAUAAUUGUACAAUAUACAAACAAAACAAGCAAGCUAACCAAAUUCUUACUCUACAUACAUUAGGAAAUUAUCUCUAACUACUGCUUCUAUAAUUUCCUUUCAUUUUAGCAGUUAUGACACCGUUAUGCCAAAAGAUGACUUAAAGGGGCAUCUGGAGUAAAAAGACAGACUACUGAGUAUAACAUGAAAUUAAUUAUAUCAAUCAAAUUAUAAAAUAUUUGACAAUUUUAUUUUUCAACUAGAGUUUAACACAAAUGUUUAAGACUGAUUAACUUCUCUUAAGUAGUACAUUACAUACUGUCAAAGUUUUAUUCACAAAAUUCAUAACGCUACAUAGUACUGAAGUUUUAUAUAGUUUCUAAAUGUUGUGCUAUUCAUAUACAUCUUCUGUGUCAUUACUCUAUUUACAUGCAAACACAGGAUCAUACAAAUCAUACAUAGUAAACAUUGUAAAAAGAUGUUCAUACAUGUACAGUGUAUGUAGAAAUUGAGUCAAUAUCUAGCUAUAGGAGUAAUUAAACACUUUUAAAAAUACUGUCUUUAUUUUUAAGUUACCAUUAAUCUAAAUUGCAGUUCUUCAAAUGACCAUGAGUACAGUUGUAAAUUGUUAAUGGAAGAAGAGGAAGAAGUUGAUGGACAGGAAUACAGUAAUCAGACAAAAACAAUUAUGCAUAUGUUGAAUGUAACAAGUGGAUUUUUUUUUUAACUAUGCCAGUUUAUUAAGAAUAGACCUAAUUUGUAUAUACACCAUAAAAAUAUUUAAUUUUGCUUUAUUCUUUUGCAGGAAACCAAGUAUGAUUCUUUUGCAGGAAACCAAGUAUGAAAUUGAGAGGGUUCAGUAUUUCUAGCAUAUUAUAGUAUUCAGCUGAUCAAGCACAAGCCCCCAUUUGUUACUUUGCAACUCACUAAUUGCUUUAUCUUUUGUUUUUGCUUCAAUUUACUCAUUUGGCCCUAUGUUGCUUCUCGCUUUUUUUUUUUGCUUGAAGAUAAAAUUUAUGCUCUAUAAUAACAAAGUUCAUUAUAUAUAUAAGUCUGUAAAUAAGGGAAAUACACUUGUUGUAUGUUGGUUCGAAUCCAACUGCAGACGAACAAAUGUAAGCUAGUUAAGCUUAUGAAAGCAUUUUUUUUUAUCAUUUUACAAAAUAGCAAUGAUUUUUAGGAUAAUAGCUUCUUUAAUAAUAAUUGGAAAAAUAACUUGUAUAUUUUCCUACAGACUUUUGUUUUUUAUUUACAAAAAAAGUAAGAAAACACCAUUCAUUUAAUUGGCAUUUAUGCACACAAAAAAAAUAAAAUAAAAUAUAAUACAUGUAAAAUUGAUCAGAUUGAUAUUAAAGAAUGCUUUCACAUUUUGCUUUUCACCUCUUAUAGUGUUGAAUUCACUAUUAUUUUCUACAUAUUGGUGUUGGUGUUUAAACUAACAGAAAAAUAUACCAAACUGGACAUAUUUUUAUCCUGUAAAAGUUACUCUCCAUCUGCAUGAGAUAGUAGCACAGACUUAUUUGUAGAUUUUUAAACAAAAUGCAUAUGAUAGAAAAACAAAAUCAUGUACCAUAUGUGUAGCAUAAAUUAAAAUGCACAGACACUGCAAAGUCAUAUAAACUUACAGUUUGGUUAACAAAUUUUCUAAAAAGGCUGUAACUUAUUUGUUUUCAAUAAACAAUUACUGUAGUGGUAGCCAUAAUUUGCCACCUGAUGAGUACCCUUGGCAGGGACGAAACAGUCAACCUACAUCUUUAUGUUAAAGAAAAGAUAUUACUUGUUUAUAUAUUGAUACAUUUAUAUUUUCAGUAGGUGUUGAUUUUUUUUAUAUAUAUUAUUGUAUUUUUGGCUAAAAUGAAUUAUCUGAUGCACUCCUACAUAAUGCAUUUUAAUCAAAAUAUCUAAAAUCUGUUUUUUUUUCUUCAAAUAUUACAACUUUAACUUUUUGAUUCGGAUCCCAAUUGUUGUUUCAACACAUUUUUUUUACAAUUAUGAGUAGACUUAUAUUGCCAUCUUAUAGUCAACAGGGAAGACUUUUAACUGCAGAAACUGAAAUUGAAAUACAAAAUGGUGCAUAUUUGUUGGUUCUUAACCUGAUUUUAAAGACUGUUCCUAACUUUCUAAAAUUUAAGUUUUUGUUACUCCUCAGGUCCAUACAUGUAGUUCAUAUGCAUACUAUGGACAGGAAGCUUGAGAUUGAUUUUGGUCCCAAUGGUUUAGGAAUUAGGGGCCAAAAAGGGGCUUAAAUAAGCAUUUUUAUUUGUUUUUGCACAAUAACUUUAGUAUAAGUGAAUAGAAAUUUAUGAAAGUUUCAUGACCUCAAAAGGAAGGUUGAGAUUGAUUUUUGGGGUUUUGGUCCCAACUGCUUUUGAAAAAAGGGCCAAAAAGGGGCUCAAAUACAUUUUGUAAGCAGUUGAUUUUGGUUUUCGCUCAAUCACUUUAGUAUAAGUAAAUAGAAAUCUAUAAAAUUUAAACACAAGGUUCAUGACCACAAAAGGAAGGUUGGGAUUGAUUUUGGGGGUUUGGGUCUCAAAGAUUAGGAAUUAGGGGCCAAAAAGGGGCAUAAAUAAGCAUUUUUCUUGGUUUUCACUCAAUUACUUUAGUAAGUAAAUAGAAAUCUAUAAAAUUUAAACACAAGGUUCAUGACCCAAAAGGAAGGUUGGGAUUGAUUUUUGGGGGUUUUGGUCCCAACAGUUUAGGAAUAAGGGACAAAAAGGGUCCAAAAUUAAACUUUCAUUAAAAAUUGAAAUAUAGGGGUUAUUUGAUAUGCUGAAUCUAACUGUGUAAUUAGAUUCUUAAUUUUUGGUCCUGUUUUCAAAUUGGUAUACAUUAAGGUCCAAAGGGUCCAAAAUUAAACUUAGUUUGAUUUUAACAAAAAAUGAUUUCUUGGGGUUCUUUGAUAUGCCGAACUUAAACAUGUACUUAGAUUUUCGAUUAUGGGCCCAGUUUUUAAACUGGUCUAAAUUGAGGUCCAAAAUUAAACAAAAAUUGAAUAUAUGGAUAUAUAUUUGUUAUGCUAAAUCUAACCAUAUGUAUUUAGAUUUUUGAAAUUUGGGACCAGUUAUCAAAUUUGUCGACAUUGAGGUCUAAAAGUUUCAAAAUGGAACUUUAUUAGAUUUCUUCAAAAAUUGAAUUCUUGGGGUUAUUUGAUAUGCUAAAUCUAAAAAUGUAUUUUGAUUUUGGAUAUUGGACAAUAACAGGUAAAUUUCCAAUUCAAUUUUAGACCACAUUCAUUCUGUGUCAGAAACCUAUUUUGUGUCAACUAUUUAUUCACAAUCCAAAUUCAGAGCUAUAUCAAGCUUGAAUGUUGUGUCAAUACUUGCCCAACUGUUCAGGAUUCGACCUCUGGGGUCUUAUAAAGCUGUGCCUUGCGGAGCAUCUGGUUAAAGUUAUACUUCUUUAUUAUUUUAGCUCCUUAGUCUAGUUUGGACAAAUUUUUAAAUGUUUAGGAUUAAUAUAUAUUAAGAUGACUUUUAAAUUUGAAGUAAUAUUAAUUUGAGUCAAAUAAGGGUCUUUUAUGCCCCUACUCCUUUGAGAUAUUGAAUAAAGUGUUGACAUUUAAACGGCUGGAUUGACAAACAAUGGCAUACCAUGUAUAUCCCUUACUUCAUAAAAACCAGAAAUUACAAAGAUAAAAAAAAAAAUAUUAUAUUUUCAGAUCACAAUUAUGUUAACCUGAUCAUAGGAGGUUUAUCUAGAAACAUGAGAAGCAUUACAAGCCUGCAUAGAUUAUACACACAAAUGGAAUAGACUCUCACUUUAAAAGAACUUACAAACAAGACUUAAGAACUCAUAAAAAAAAUGAUUCAUGUUUCAAUGAGUGAAUUGGAGUGAUUCUAAUUGCACAUGAAAAUUUGUGUGCAUUUAAUACAUGUAUUAAUAACAAUGAAUUUUAUUAAUUGUUGUUUUGAAAUUUUGUAUGUCUUCUUAAAUCUAUCAUGA